GGAUCAAAUGACUGAGUGACAUUGCCCUCUGUACAGCAAUCAGAGUUUAGGAACAUAAUGUCCAUGCACAUGAGAUGCACUCUGGCCCUUCGUAGUCUUACGGUGUAUCAGCGCGAGGAGUCUCUGAGUUCUUCAAGACCAGCAAUGAAACCCCAUGGACCACGCUGACAUGGGGAUGUCCUUCUCUCUUUUGUUAUUGCUGUUGCUGUUGUUGUUCUGCUUCUCUGUCCCACUGUGUACAGUAUUAGCAAAUAUAUUUAACAGCCCAGUCUCUGUAGGGGUGGAUAGCAUUUUUGUUUAAUAUCUUUCUUCCUGUUUCUGUUAAGUUAGGAGUUAUGUCAGUGAUUUGUUUUUUUUGUUUCUUUAUGUUUAAAUAGGUAAUUUUAGGUUGAUUAGCUUUAGUUCCCUUUUGUUUGUUGUUUUGCUGUGCACUCACCCUGA